rnacentral:rRNA from 1 species
AACGCCGCGUGGAGGAUGACGGUCUUCGGAUUGUAAACUCCUGUCAUCCGGGAGAAGACCUGGCGGUUAACAGCCGACAGGGUUGAUAGUACCGGAAGAGGAAGGGACGGCUAACUUCGUGCCAGCCACCUCGGUGACUGAGCGGGCUGGCAAGGCGCAUA